UACGUAGGGUGCAAGCGUUAAUCGGCAUUACUGGGCGUAAAGCGUGCGCAGGCGGUUAUGUAAGACAGGUGUGAAAUCCCCGGGCUUAACCUGGGAACUGCAUUUGUGACUGCAUAGCUAGAGUACGGCAGAGGGGGAUGGAAUUCCGCGUGUAGCAGUGAAAUGCGUAGAUAUGCGGAGGAACACCGAUGGCGAAGGCAAUCCCCUGGGCCUGUACUGACGCUCAUGCACGAAAGCGUGGGGAGCAAACAGG
rnacentral:rRNA from 1 species